rnacentral:rRNA from 1 species
GACGAACGCUGGCGGCGUGCUUAACACAUGCAAGUCGAACGGUAAGGCCCUUCGGGGUACACGAGUGGCGAACGGGUGAGUAACACGUGGGUGAUCUGCCCUGCACUUCGGGAUAAGCCUGGGAAACUGGGUCUAAUACCGGAUAGGACUCCUGGCUUCAUGGUUGGGGGUGGAAAGCUUUUGCGGUGUGGGAUGGGCCCGCGGCCUAUCAGCUUGUUGGUGGGGUAAUGGACUACCAAGGGGACGACGGGUAGCCGGCCUGAGAGGGUGACCGGUCACACUGGUACUGGGAUACUGCCCAGACUCCUACUGGAGGCAGCAGUGGGGAAUACUGCACAAUGGGCGCAAGCCUGAUGCAGCGACGCCGCGUGAGGGAUGACGGCCUUCGGGUUGUAAACCUCUUUCAGCUAUGACGAAGCGCAAGUGACGGUAGUAGCAGAAGAAGGACCGGCCAACUACGUGCCAGCAGCCGCAGUAA